UUGAAUAUGUAGUAAUCAGGUGUCAGGGCAAUCAUCCAUGUAUGGUUGGCCCUGGUGAAAAGGGAAACAGGUGCAAAUCCUGUACGAACUCGUCACCGUAAUUAGGGAGCUGAAGCCGAUAUAUCACUGGGAAACUGGGAAGAUGGCCAAUGCAAUGAUCUUCAAGCCGGGAGACCUGCCUGACUGCUGUACAGAAA
rnacentral:ncRNA from 2 species